GACGAACGCUGGCGGCGUGCUUAACACAUGCAAGUCGAACGGAAAGGCCCUGCUUUUGUGGGGUGCUCGAGUGGCGAACGGGUGAGUAACACGUGAGUAACCUGCCCUUGACUUUGGGAUAACUUCAGGAAACUGGGGCUAAUACCGGAUAGGAGCUCCUGCUGCAUGGUGGGGGUUGGAAAGUUUCGGCGGUUGGGGAUGGACUCGCGGCUUAUCAGCUUGUUGGUGGGGUAGUGGCUUACCAAGGCUUUGACGGGUAGCCGGCCUGAGAGGGUGACCGGCCCCAUGGGGAUGGAGUAACGGCCAAGACUCUUACGGGGGGAAGCAGUGGGGAAUAUUGCACAAGGGGCGGAAGCCGAAGGCAGCAACGCCGCGUGGGGGAUGACGGCCUUCGGGUUGUAACCCGUUUUCGCCUGGGACGAAGCGUGGGGGCGGUUAAUGGUAAAAGAAGCACCGCUAAAUUCGUG
rnacentral:rRNA from 1 species